rnacentral:misc_RNA from 1 species
GUAGGUGAACCUGCGGAAGGAUCAUUAACACGUAUCCAACGUUAAACAACCCUGUGAACUUUCAGACGCUCUUGUAGCCCAAGCGGAACAGCAAUCCCGGUAAAUCAAAGGCGGAAAGAGUUUGAUUCGGGACCUCUGUCCAUCAGGUUACAAUCGUAGCUAGGAGCAGUGGCAUGGCUUCCUGAAGCAGUGCCGAAGGAUGCACUGAGUAUGGAUAACGCAUCACGGUUGCUAGAGGUCGAUCACCGGCCGGCAGACAUGUCACAGGGCUACAUGCCCCUUAAUUCACCCCUUGCCUACACUAAAAACCGAACAACUGUUAACAAUGGAUAUCUUGGUUCUC